rnacentral:lncRNA from 1 species
AACAACGUAAGCUUGCGAAAUUAAAGGGAUGAGGCAACAAGAAAAAUACUCAUGAUUUCUAGAAUUGAACAAACAUAGACACCAAUCCAUAUAACAAAAGAAAAUAAAGGCUAACUUUUCAAUAAAGAGAAUCUUUAAAUUUCAAUUAAGGCGACAUUAACGAAAAUUCAUACAUAUAAAUUACAACCAACAUCUUAUUGAAAAACGUGUAACGACCUAUGAUUUUUAU